rnacentral:rRNA from 1 species
GACGAACGCUGGCGGCGUGCUUAACACAUGCAAGUCGAACGGUAAGGCCCUUCGGGGUACACGAGUGGCGAACGGGUGAGUAACACGUGGGUGAUCUGCCCUGCACUUCGGGAUAAGCCUGGGAAACUGGGUCUAAUUCCGGAUAGGACCACUGCCUGCAUGGGUGGUGGUGGAAAGCUUUUGCGGUGUGGGAUGGGCCCGCGGCCUAUCAGCUUGUUGGUGGGGUGAUGGCCUACCAAGGCGACGACGGGUAGCCGGCCUGAGAGGGUGACCGGCCACACUGGGACUGAGAUACGGCCCAGAUUCCUACGGGAGGCAGCAGUGGGGAAUAUUGCACAAUGGGCGCAAGCCUGAUGCAGCGACGCCGCGUGAGGGAUGACGGCCUUCGGGUUGUAAACCUCUUUCAGCACCGACGAAGCGCAAGUGACGGUAGGUGCAGAAGAAGGACCGGCCAACUACGUGCCAGCCGCCGCGGUAA